UACGGAGGGGGCAAGCGUUGUUCGGAAUUACUGGGCGUAAAGGGCGCGCAGGCGGCUCUUCAAGUCGAGUGUGAAAGCUCCAGGCUUAACCUGGGAAUUGCGCUCGAUACUGUUGAGCUAGAGUGUGGAAGGGGCUACUGGAAUUCCGUGUGUAGCGGUGAAAUGCGUAGAUAUACGGAGGAACACCUGCGGCGAAGGCGGGUAGCUGGGCCGACACUGACGCUGAGACGCGAAAGCUAGGGGAGCAAACGGG
rnacentral:rRNA from 1 species